UACGUAGGGUGCGAGCGUUAAUCGGAAUUACUGGGCGUAAAGCGUGCGUAGGCGGUUCGCUGUGUCCGAUGUGAAAGCCCCGGGCUUAACCUGGGAAUGGCAUUGGGAACUGGCGGGCUUGAGUGCGGCAGAGGGGGGUGGAAUUCCGCGUGUAGCAGUGAAAUGCGUAGAGAUGCGGAGGAACACCGAUGGCGAAGGCAGCCCCCUGGGUCGACACUGACGCUCAGGCACGAAAGCGUGGGGAGCAAACAGG
rnacentral:rRNA from 1 species